UAAUACGUAGGGGGCUAGCGUUGUCCGGAAUCAUUGGGCGUAAAGAGCGCGUAGGCGGCCCGAUAAGUCUGCUGUGAAAGUCCAGGGCUCAACCCUGGAAUGCCAGUGGAUACUGUCGGGCUAGAGUACGGAAGAGGCGAGUGGAAUUCCUGGUGUAGCGGUGGAAUGCGCAGAUAUCAGGAGGAACACCAAUAGCGAAGGCAGCUCGCUGGGACGUUACUGACGCUGAGGCGCGAAAGCGUGGGGAGCAAACAGGAUUAGAUACCCUGGUAGUCCACGCCGUAAACGAUGGGCACUAGGUGUGGGAGGUGUCGACUCCUUCCGCGCCGUCGCUAACGCAUUAAGUGCCCCGCCUGGGGAGUACGGCCGCAAGGCUA
rnacentral:rRNA from 1 species